UUGAGUGUAAAAACUCCCAAACCCAUUGUGAACAUACCAAUUGUUGCUUCGGCGGCCUUCGCCCCGGGCGCGCUCCGGCGUGCCCCGGAACCAGGCGACCGCCGGGGGACCCUAAACUCUCGUUUUCUUCAGUGGAUUAUCUGAGUGGAUUUACGAAUCAAAUUA
rnacentral:misc_RNA from 1 species